rnacentral:rRNA from 1 species
GCGGCAUGCCUUACACAUGCAAGUCGAACGGUAGAGGGGCAACCCUUGAGAGUGGCGAACGGGUGAGUAAUAUAUCGGAACGUGCCCAGUCGUGGGGGAUAACGCAGCGAAAGCUGCGCUAAUACCGCAUACGAUCUAAGGAUGAAAGCGGGGGAUCGCAAGACCUCGCGCGAUUGGAGCGGCCGAUAUCAGAUUAGGUGGUUGGUGGGGUAAAAGCCCACCAAGCCGACGAUCUGUAGCUGGUCUGAGAGGACGACCAGCCACACUGGGACUGAGACACGGCCCAGACUCCUACGGGAGGCAGCAGUGGGGAAUUUUGGACAAUGGGCGCAAGCCUGAUCCAGCAAUGCCGCGUGCAGGACGAAGGCCUUCGGGUUGUAAACUGCUUUUGUACGGAGCGAAACGGUCUGGGUUAAUACCCUGGGCUAAUGACGGUACCGUAAGAAUAAGCACCGGCUAACUACGUGCCAGCAGCCGCGGUAAUACGUAGGGUGCGAGCGUUAAUCGGAAUUACU